AGUGAACGCUGGCGGCGUGCUUAACACAUGCAAGUCGAACGAGAACGGAAUAUAGCUUGCUAUAUUUGUCAGCUAAGUGGCGCACGGGUGAGUACUGUAUAGAUAACCUGCCCUUAACAAAGGAAUAACAGUUGUAAACGACUGCUAUGCCCUAUACGCCUUUAAUACAUCAGUAUGCAAGGGAAACGCUUUAGUGCGUAAGGAUGGGUCUGUAGUGUAUCAGCUUGUUGGUGAGGUAAUGGCUCACCAAGGCUAUGACGCCUAACUGGUUUGAGAGGAUGAUCAGUCACACUGGAACUGAGACACGGUUCAGACUGCUAAGGGAGGCAGCAGUGGGGAAUAUUGCACAAUGGACGAAAGUCUGAUGCAGCAACGCCGCGUGGAGGAUGACACAUUUCGGUGCGUAAACUCCUUUUAUAUAGGAAGAUAAUGACGGUACUAUAUGAAUAAGCACCGGCUAACUCCGUGCCAGCCGCCGCGGUAA
rnacentral:rRNA from 1 species